UGUGUGAGGUCUAGGGUUCAAGUCUCAUUUAUGGAAAAUUUUGUUAUUUUUUUAUUCCAAGCCUUAUCUCUGUUGGGUGGGCUUAUAAUAUAUUGUUUGUAAACUCAUAUCAGAAUGAGUCUGCUGGUUCGAGUGGUAAGGAGUUAGCUUUCCUUGAGGUCUCGUGUUCGAAUCCUUGUACAAGUGUGUAUGUUAAUUUUUACGACAGUUGAGUGAUAGAGGUUCGGUGGAAGUGGAAUUCUGAGGUAGUUGAGAGUUUGUGGGUCGGUUAGUAGUGGGAUAAUGUGAGGGUUGAGAUAUUGUAGGGAUUAAUUUGAAUUUUUAUUUUAAUUUCGUAAUUUUUUCUCUCUCUCUGAUGUGUUCUUCUCUGUUCCUCUAUCAAUUUCUUUUCUUUUCUUUCUUGAUUUUGGUCUUAUUUCUUUCCUUUGAUUUUUGGUCCCUUCGCGUGCUUUGUAGGUAAGAUUUCGCUAUGGUUUGAGGGAGAUGUUGUGUAAUGCUUUAGUUUCUGUGGGUGUUUUGGGCUGAUUUGUUAUACUGUUUUGAUAGGUGUUUCUCAGGGAAUCCGAGACCCUUCGGUUGCGUAAUGAAGUUUUAGGGCUACUAUUGUCGAG
rnacentral:lncRNA from 1 species